AAUUAGAAACCCUAAAUCCAAAACUUGGCCCUUGUUCUUCUUUCUCGUUGAGUGUUGUCUUUGGUUUGCCCGCCAUUUUUGGCAUUACCAGUUGAGCUUGCGACCGCCAUGUUCCUGAUCAGGCUUCAGCCAAUCGCUCCUCUUUUCGACGCAAUCUGCUCUCUCACUCGAAUCGCUACACGGGCCGACGUCAAAUUCUCGCCCACCAAGUUCUGCAUAAUUGUCUCCCAAAUUUCCCCUCCCUUCAUCGCGGCGCUGCAAAUGUCGCCUGAAUUCUUCACCUCCUUUGCCGUGGAUGGGAAUCACACUUCCAGAAUUUGCCUCGACUCCUUGCACUCUAUUUUGAUGGAUGGCAGGCUCUAUCCUGCAAUGACCUUCCAUCUUCUCGAAAAUCAGAAUCGCCUGCUCCUUCGAUUCGAGAAUUCAAAACACAGUUUGUUAUUCGUUUGCUGUAAACAGAGCACCAUUGAUGGAUGGAAUCAAUAAGAACAAAUCGCUUUAGGAUACCUUAAUCUUGCUUGCUUUAGAACUUUCAUUCUGAUACUUCUAGGGAAUCUGCCUCGAGGGCGUCGUGAAUUGGAUUUGUCUCCUUCAGAAGAGGAGGACGUAGGCGAAAUUGACUAUGGAAAUUGUGUUUCAAUUGGCUCAGAUGAAUUCAGAAGCAUUGUAACAAAGCUAUCUGCAUACUUCAAUCAUAGAAUUUGUGCUACUUUAACGGAUUCUCAAGUCAAGUUCUCUGUUGCAAACGAGGAGAUUAUUCUCACCAAAGAGGGAGGACAAUGCUUAAUCAUAGCUCCUGAAAGAGGAGUCGAAACUAAAUUCGAAUUCACUCUUCAUCCCACCUCAUUUUUCUAUGAUUUAGCAGAUAAGCCAGGAGGGGUAUGGUUAUGCAAGUCCACUGAUUCUCGUAAUAUAAUCUGUAUCCCUUUUGGAUUGAAUAUUCACCACUUGAUGUAUUUUCCUCAAGUGUGACAUGUUUUCAACAAUUUUGAUAUUGAUUCUUAUUCUUUUUUCUCUAGAUAUUCAAAAGCCUCGAGAUUAAAAGUCGAAA